rnacentral:misc_RNA from 1 species
UGUCAAUGGAGGUGGGAAGACAACAUCUCUUGGAAAGUUGGCAAAUAGGUUGAAGAGAGAAGGGGCAAAGAUACUAUUAGCAGCUGGUGAUACAUUUAGAGCAGCUGCUAGUGAUCAGUUAGAAAUCUGGGCUGAAAGGACUGGUUGUGAGAUUGUUGUUGCUGAAAAAGAGAAAGCUAAGGCAUCGUCAGUUAUUUCACAGGCUGUUAAAAGAGGAAAGGAAGAGGGUUUCGAUAUUGUUUUAUGCGACACAUCUGGCCGUUUGCACACCAACUAUAGCUUGAUGGAGGAAUUGGUGGCAUGCAAAAAAGUUGUCAGUAAAAUUGUUAAUGGUGCACCUAAUGAAAUCUUGCUAGUACUGGAUGGAACGACUGGUUUAAAUAUGCUUCCUCAAGCAAGAGAGUUUAAUGAGGUUGUUGGAAUCACUGGGUUAAUAUUGACUAAACUUGAUGGUUCUGCUCGAGGUGGCUGUGUGGUCAGUGUGGUUGAUGAGCUUGGUAUUCCUGUAAAAUUUGUAGGUGUUGGGGAAGGUGUAGAUGACCUCCAACCAUUCAAUGCUGAGGAAUUUGUUGAUGCUAUCUUCCCAUGAGGCAUGAUUCAGUGACAGUUUCUCCUAUAUUCUAAGUGAACUCUCUGGUGUUAACAAGACACAAACAUUUUGGCGAGAGAGGAGUAAUGAGACAUUAGAAAUUUUUGUCUUUAACAGAACGUGUGCCUUAUGCUCCUUUGUUUAUCUAGAUCUGCUCUAUUUCAUUGAGGAUGUGUCAUCAGAAGAGACACUUAGUUGUCCAGUACGACUGAUGCCAUUAGUUGCAUCGCCUUUUUUUAAAAUCAAAAGAUCAGUGUCAUCUCCUUGUCAUUGUUGCAGUAUUAAGUAGUAAUACAGCAUUGUAGUUAAAGUGGAGUUUCA